UAACACAUGCAAGUCGAACGAGAUCAUUAGAUAGCUUGCUGAAGAUGAUCUUAGUGGCGGACGGGUGAGUAACACGUGGGUAAUCUGCCUGACAAGUCUGGGAUAACAGGGUGAAAACGCUGCUAAUACCGGAUAAGCUCACAGGGACGGGAGUCCUGGUGAGAAAAGGAGCAAUCCGUUGUCAGAUGAGCCCGCGGCUGAUUAGCUAGUUGGUGGGGUAAAGGCCUACCAAGGCGACGAUCAGUAGCCGGCCUGAGAGGGUGUACGGCCACACUGGAACUGAGACACGGUCCAGACUCCUACGGGAGGCAGCAGUGGGGAAUUUUCCGCAAUGGGCGAAAGCCUGACGGAGCCAAUGCCGCGUGAGUGACGAAGGCCUUCGGGUUGUAAAGCUCUGUCUUCAGGGACGAAACAAAUGACGGUACCUGAGGAGGAAGCCACGGCUAACUACGUGCCAGCAGCCGC
rnacentral:rRNA from 1 species